CCCUCCCCCCUCUAUUCUUACUCACACUCACCUACAAUCUUCUUCUCCUCUUUCUGUUGUCACAUGUUGGAUGUUGUAUAGCUAGAUCUUUCACAUCCCCCAACCCAACCUUCUCCCCUCCCCGUUGUGAUCUGAUCUGAGAUGGUGAGAUAGUGUAUGUCUCUGUCUUCCCCCUCCCUCACUCUCUUUCUCUCCCUUUCACUCUCCCCNNNNNNNNNNCUCUCUCUCUCUCUCUCUCUCUGAGAAAAAGGUGCUGUAUAGAACCUAAAAGGGUUCUUAGGCUUUCCUCAUAGGAGAACCCUUUGAACAAUCCUUUAUCGUUCCAGGAAAUACCCUUUUGGUUCCAAGUAGAACCAUUUAUCUGGAACCAAAAAGGGUUAUCCUUUUGGCUGUAAUUUGCUGAGGAGACGUAUGCAUAUUUUAUUAGCAGGCACAUUUAGAGAAAAAACAAGUCUGAAUGAGAGAGAAAGACACAGAGAGACAGAGAGAGAGAAGGGGUGUGUGAGAGAGAAGAGGACAGAGAGAGAAAAAUAGAGAAGGGGACUGAGGGGGUGGGGUGGGGGGGGGGGCAGAGGUCUGGUUUAUAGUAUGCAUGUGGCACCAGUUAUAAGCUCUUUAGACAUGGAGCUGCAGUCAACACCACUUAGCUUAAUUUGUGUGUCUUCUUCCAUCACACUUUCUCUUAUUUUCCUGUCACAGUCUCUCUCAAUUUCUCAUUCUCUAUUACUCUGGACCCCAUGUCCUUCCCCUCCUCUCAUUCUCUAUUACUCUGGGCCCAUGUCCUUCCCCUCCUCUCAUUCUCUAUUACUCUGGGCCCAUGUCCUUCCCCUCCUCUCAUUCUCUAUUACUCUAGACCCCAUGUCGUUCCCGUUCUCUCAUUCCCUAUUACUCUGGACCCAUGUCCUUCCCCUCCUCUCAUUCUCUAUUACUCUGGGCCCAUGUCCUUCCCCUCCUCUCAUUCUCUAUUACUCUGGGCCCAUGUCCUUCCCCUCCUCUCAUUCUCUAUUACUCUGGGCCCAUGUCCUUCCCCUCCUCUCAUUCUCUAUUACUCUAGACCCCAUGUCGUUCCCGUUCUCUCAUUCCCUAUUACUCUGGACCCAUGUCCUUCCCCUCCUCUCAUUCUCUAUUACUCUGGGCCCAUGUCCUUCCCCUCCUCUCAUUCUCUAUUACUCUGGGNNNNNNNNNNUAAAGCUUUAUGGGUUGCUCACUCCUCUACUGAGAUAA
rnacentral:lncRNA from 13 species